rnacentral:lncRNA from 1 species
UGGGGAUGCACUAUCUUGUGCAUUCUGAUUUCUCGGUGUUUGCAAACCUUACCCUAGAGUUUCUUUGUACUUUAGAAGUUAACAUAUAUAGGGUAUCGGAUGACCCCACCGAUGAAGCUAUAAAACUGAAAACCACUGGCACAGUGAGUUUUCGGUUGCACAAUUCUAAUUAUGAAAUCUUGAUUGAGACUCUGGAGGAUAUCUUUCACGUCCUUACUGAUGGAGAAGGCGGUGUCCUCAAGUGUUUUAACUCAAAUCAAUUAUGG